UGUUGAGGUAGGUCAGGUUGAUAAGUGAUUGUCCAACUAUAUUAUUCAUCAAAACAUGUAAUUAGAACAUACAAGUAAAAGUUGGAGUUGAAGGAAAUAAAAGAUGCAGCUAUACCGGUUAUCUUCUCUGUUCAAUCCCAACUAACUUUAGUUUCUUCUACUGCUGCAGACUUUGCAAAAGGAAUACAAUGAACAUGUCUCCAUUACCCUUGACACUUCCCUCGUGGAAGAAUGUCGAGAUUAAUUUAAUGAUGACUGCAAAACAUCAUGUGAUCAUUAACAUUGUAACUUUAUUUCAUGGUAAAAUACUAAAAUGUCUAGAAAGAAACAUAAUCAUAAUUCAUAGCAGUCUACAGAGUUUUAAUGCUUAGUGUUAUUUAUGUACCUGUUUCCUUAGUGACUUGCACGGCGCGCAAUUCUGAUGGAUGGGAUUGUGUGCAUGUAUAUCCAUUAGGUAGGGACUAGUAGUGGACUACCCCCAUAUUAGGUUUUGACCAGGUAGCACCAUAGGACUCAAUAGGGACUGUCCACAUUAGGAUUUGACCAGGUAGAAUUCAAGUUCACAUUGUUGUCAAUGGGACUUAAGUCACAUGCAACACUCCCUCGGCUUCAAGAAAUGUCGCUGCUCUUGAUCUCUGCUAAUUUUGUCGUUUCCUUAGCUCCAGAGACUUGUGAAAACAGUUCUGGCGCCACUCUUUCUCAUAAGAAGCUUGACAAAAGUUGACAUGAAUAGAUUCAAUGAUCAAGUCCUUCUCAGCUAUUCAGUUUGCGAAACUUACAAUGCCUUGAGAGUAGUAUUGAACUUGGAUGAAAAUUUUCUCACAGCAGAGAUGCCUGCAGAUAUGGGAAAUCUCAAACAAUUGUGGCGGUUGUCGCUUCAUCAGAACAGAUUCUCCAGUGGGAUCUCAAUGUCUUUUUUGCAUUUAACUGAACUGGAAGUCUUGUAUUUGCAAAACAUAGGAAGUUUGUAAGAAAAAAAUUGACCCUGGCCUUAAGCCGUUAAGCAUGAACCAGUUGACAGGUGAAAUUUCUUCCUCGAUCAAGAGUUUGAGCAAGUUGGUGACACUUCAAUUAGACAAUAACUUGCUUUCAGGUGAGAUUCCAACAUGGUUGCUAGAUAUCAAGGCGUUGAAACUUUUAAAUCCUGGAGGAAAGUAUUGGAACAAUAGUUAACCAGUAGCUCCUUAGUGUCUUAGUGUAUGUUAGUUAUCUCAAUUAUCUUUGAGGUCUUGCUGAGUUGCCACUCCCAUUCCAUUCUGGAUAUCCACCCAAAAGAAUCUUGAUUUCUUAGAUUGAAGCAAGAAGAGCUGGAAGGAGCCUUCCCACCAUGGCUUGCUGAAUCAAAUCUGGGAGAAAAUAAGUUUAUGGGUUCUCUGCCACCGCCUCUAUUUCAGUCUAAAUUUAUCAGUGCUUGCUUUGUCAAGAAACAAUUUUUCCAGUGAGUUACCUAAAAACAGUGGAGAUACACCUUCUCUUAUGAUACUUAAGCUGGCCAACAACUUUUCUGGUCCGAUAUCAAAUUUGAUCUCAAAGAUUUAUGUCACAGAGAUCUCUUCCAACGGAUAUCUGGUCAGCCUCCAGUAAACUUUGCAUUAGGAAAAAUAUACCAGCGUUAGACGACAAUGAGUUCUCAGGUAAGGUCUCUUACCUCCCGAUCUUAGCAAAUUGAGCCAACUUGAGCACCUUGACCUCCAUAAGAACUAUACCACAGGCAAAUUGCCAGAGUUUCUCACCUGAAAAGUCCAGCAUCCAGCCUUCAAAUUGCUAGCCCUCUAAGGCCAGAUUCCAGACGCUCUAUCCAAAUUCAGUAGCCUUCACACUCUUGACUUCUCAAUCAACAGCCUGAAUGGAAAAAUCCCUGCAAACAUUGGAAACAUCGAAAGAAUGAUAAAACCCCCCAUACACUUUAAUGGGUUCUGUAAUUCAGUGACUUGAUUUUAAACAGGAAGAAGUCCCUGCAAGGUCUAUUGGCUGUAACCUUUAAAUAUACUUUUUCUUAGACUUUUCCAGAAACCAAUUGUCAGGAGAAGUUCCAACUUUGAUGGGUGGUCUUACAAGUUUGAAGUUACUCCAUAUCUCUACAAGUAUUCCUGUGAGUUUUGGUGGAUUACAGAGUGUAGAAAGCUUAGACAUGCUCACACAACAAUCUUUCUGGGAAAAUGCCAUGGACACUAGUGAAUCCCCAACAGCUUGGAACUCUGGAUGUAAGCAACAAUAAGCUUGUGGGUCAGACUCCAAUGGGUAGCCAGAUGGACAGGUUUAAUGACCCAAGUUCUUACACUAACAACAGUGGAUUGUGUGUAUGCAAAUACAAAGGCCAUGUCCAAUGACACCUCCACCAGAUAUCUCCACCAAGGUCAGGAGUCAUUAAGCGUGAGGAACUGAGGAUACAUGGUUUUCACGGAUGGGUUAUUUGUCUCAGUGUUGGUAUCUGCAAACUUUUGGGCUAUCUUACUUACACCAAGGAGGCAUCAGCGACGAAGCAUUCGCAAAAUAUAACAUCACCUUACAUGCCCGCCCAGUAAAUCUAUCAUCGUUGUAAACAUAAAACACCAGGGCGUCACAAAGGCAUUGUGCCAAUCCAAGGUGGAUCAGUUAAAAAAGGCCCAUCUUAGGUUCUAAACCAUGAACUAAGACUCCUGGUUCUGUUUUGCCUAUGGAAGAUUAGCAACCAAAGCUAAUAUUAUGCAGAGAUCUCUUUUUUACUAGUCAGAGAACAUGCAAUACUUUCAUAGAUCAACACACCAAAAGAUCUGUAUCAUUGUAAAGCAAUGCAUGGAUCUCUCUGUAACUAGUCAGAGAACAUGCAAUACUUUCAUAGAUCAACACACCAAAAAUCUUAUCAUUAUAAAGCAAUGGGAUCCAUAUAUUCCAAGAAAGAGUUCCAAACCCAACAGUAACAUUGCUAAAGGGGAUUUGGUGAGUUGAUCCACAAGUGUGUUUAUAAUCCUCUUAUUUUGUAAGUAAAAUGCUUAUUAGCAGUAACAAUCAUAAGCAACAACCAUAAGAGUUUAUCUGAAUGUUGUGAAGAUACAUAUAGCAUCAAUAAAAAGCAAAACAUGUGAUAACACAUCACAGCACUAACCCCAGCUAUAGAUAAUAUGCAUAAACUGUCAGGGAAAAACGUUUACCAAAAAAGUAAAACGAAUUUGUAUUAUCACUGUUUCUUAAGGGAGGACUAUGAUUUUGGGUGAGCAGUAAUGAGCACAAUCAUCGGCAGAAAAGAAUCUGGGGAUUCGAGUGACUGUAAAAAAAGUAAAGAUGUGAAAAGUAUCAAAAGCAAAUCAAAAUAUGAAUAGAAAAUGUAAAAAGAUGAGAACCAAUACCAUAAGUAGACUAAUGAAAACAUUCUACAUUUAAAAAAACUCAUUCGUAGUUGAAAAAAUACAUGUAAUAACUUUUUAAAAUAUGAGGUAUUAAGCAAAACAUAACGAAUACAAAAAAAUCAAAAUUAUAUGUAUCAAUAUGUCAAGGCAUCUCUAGCCCCUAAUUUUGAUUGAAUACACAUGUUGAGUACAAGUUUCACUUAAAAAGCAAAACAGAUGUAUUUAUAAAGUUUUCCAAGUGUCCGUUGAAGAUUUUGCAAACAACACCAUCUAUUGGCAGUAAAGAAUCUGGGGAUUUAAGCACCGUAUGAGAUGCCCUUGACGUAUAACAGAUAUAAAAACAUCAACAAGAAGUAAAAAUACGACAAGAAAAUAUAAAAAUAUGAAAACCAAUUCGAUUAAGUAGACUAAAAAGUUUGAAACAAUAACAUCGGUGCAAAGGAGCACCUUCAUAGUAUAAAAUCAAAACAAAGAAAAGUACAAUCCUUAUAUAUAAUAAAAGACGUACAUAAAUAAAUAAAAUUUGCAUCUCCAACCCAUCAUUGAUUGAGUGUGUCCACAUGCUUUCAUGCAAGUUUCACUUCAAAAAUCAAAUGCAUUUUCACAAUGCACUAUAGGGACCAUUGAAGAUUUCAGAUGAAGGGUAGAGGGCACAUUAUUUGGCAGCAUACAAUCUAGGGAUUUCAGCACAAAAAAGGAGAUGCCUAUAUAAAUAUAAAGGUAGCGAAAGAAUAAAAUAAGUCAAGAACCCAAAGAAAUAAAUUAAUACAUUAUAAAUAUUAAAACAUAAACUUUAUACAUACAGCAAAGCACGAUCUUAGGGUCUGUUCGAUUAGAAAUUUUCCAGUAAAUAUACCUUAGGGGGCAGAAAAGACAAGAAGAAAACAGAAAACUCUCUCUCCUUCGUAUUUUCUUCCCAAUUUUCAAUCCUCGGAUAUUUCACCUUUACCCUCCCGAUUUC
rnacentral:lncRNA from 1 species